GAGUCUUCGGCGGGCUCGCGAGCCCGGCCGCGGCCUACUGGUUUCAGACGGAGUCUUACUCUCUCUCCCGGUCUGGAGUGCAGUGGCGUGAUCUCGGCUCAAUGUAACCUCCACCCUCCGGGUUCAAGGGGUUCUCCUGCCUCAGCCUCCCAAGUAGCUAGGACCACAGUGAUGGCUCAUGAAGCAAUGGAAUAUGAUCUUCAGGUGCAGUUAAAUCAUGCCGAACAACAGCCAGCUCCUGCUGGCAUGGCCAGCAGCCAAGGGGGACCAGCCCUCCUCCAGCCUGUUCCUGCUGAUGUGGUCAGCAGCCAGGGGGUACCAUCCAUCCUCCAGCCAGCUCCUGCUGAGGUGAUCAGCAGCCAAGCGACACCACCCCUGCUCCAGCCUGCUCCGCAACUGUCUGUUGACCUGACAGAAGUGGAGGUCUUGGGAGAAGACAAUGUGGAGAACAUCAAUCCAAGAACUUCAGAACAACAUAGGCAGGGAUCUGAUGCUAAUCACACCAUCCCAGCAUCUUCGUUGCAUUCAAUGACCAACUUCAUCAGUGGACUGCAGAGACUUCAUGGCAUGCUGGAAUUCCUGAGACCUUCAUCUUCAAACCACAGUGUAGGGCCAAUGAGAACAAGAAGGAGGGUAUCUGCUUCACGGAGGGCAAGAGCCGGAGGGUCUCAGAGGACAGACAGUGCCAGGUAAAUAAAUAUAUGGAUAAGUCUGUGAUCAUUGCUGUACUAGAAAUUAUGAAACUGAGGCUCUGCCAUUCAAGGACUGACAGUGGGACUUUUGGCAAGUCAGAUAACUUCUGAUCCCCAAUUCCUCAUAGGUGGAAAUAAAAGUGCUUGCC
rnacentral:sRNA from 1 species